GGGUAAUAGCAUUCCACGGAGCAGAAAAAGCAAGUGCAGGAACAGCAAGAAGCAGAGUGAGAGAGGUGGGGAGAAUUCAAGAUGAUGUUAGAGAGAUGACAGAGUCUAGGUUAGGGAGGGCCUGAGUCCUUGUAGACUCUGAGUACGGUGCUGAGCAGGGAAGAGACAGGCUCUGGCUUAGGGUUUAGAAGGAACACAGGCUACUGCGAUGAGGAUUGUCUGAAGGGGAACAAAGGCCAAGAUGUUGUUUGAAGCCGUGAGACUGAGUGAGAUCAUGGAGGAAGUGAAUGUAAAUAGAAAAGGGAAGAAGUCUGAAGACGGAGCCCUGAGACACUCCAUUGUAAACUGGAAGAUGAGGAAGAGCCAGCAAAGGAGACUGAGAAGGGGCAGCCAGUGAAGAUGGAGCCAGGGCUAGAGUAAGAGCCCCUUCUGGGAUGCUGUGACCCCCAAGUUUGAAGACUGCUGAUAACCCCAAUCUACGAAGACUAGCUAUGGAACUUCCUACACUGAGACAACUCCAGUGGAACUCUGAUAAUUAUCCUAAAAUAAGGAGGCUUCUUCAGUAGCCCUCGAAAUAUGUUCAAAUACAUGAUUACAUUUAUGUCCUUAAUAUUGCUAUUAGUUUCUGAUGUUAAUGUAAAAGUUGGGGAAAAAGUGGAAAAGUUAAAGCAGUGCAGGUUAAUUCAAUGCCAGAGUAACUUCUCAGAGGGUGUAUAUUCAGUGUGAACAAUUUUCAACAGAGAAAUGUCAACUUCUGGCCACAACGGCAACCAGUAAAAUGACUAUUUUUACUGUCUUAUCUAUUAAUGAAGAGGAGAUUGCAUAAUAUAGAUGAAGGAGCAUAGUAUUUGCAGGUGGAACGCCUAGCAGGGCUUGAGUCUCAACUCUGCUGCUUUUACUCUAAUUGACCGAGACAAGUCAUUUAAACUAAUAGAGCUUCAAUUUUCUCAUAUCUAAUGUAACAUAACAAUUCACAGCCUUUUACUUUGUAGUUAUCGUGAAGAUCUAAUCGCAGUGAAAUAUAUUUAUAUAUCUGUCUGCUGAUAGAACUUUUGUCAUAGAGGCUAGUCCAUUUUAUGUCAACGGGGCUUAAAUAAGAUCUGUGCCAGCAACUGAAUUACACUAAUGAGUGAGUAAUUACAAAAGAAGCCUGCUUUAUCAAUCUAUAUAAAGAAGAAAGUUACUGAGUAUGGAGGGGAGAUUCUCCUUUCAUAUUGGCACUCAUUCUUACUUUCCCUGAAAUAGAGAUUAUAGUAGUCUACCAGCAAUUUUCAAACUUCAAUUCUGGCCUGGAAAUUGGACAGAAGGGGUCCAAGGACAAUGAACCGAAAGUGCCAGUGAAUGUCUCAGUGCAGACUUGGAGUCAUAGUGGUUAAUUUGCAAAAUUAACUCCCUAUUCAGACUUCAGGCAGUUACAUGUCAACCAACAUCAACUUCGACCCUUAAUCUUCAGCCUCAACCUAGUAAUAAUAUCUCUGAGGUGAAUAAGCUAUGAAGUGGACAUUUCCACCUUCCUUUAUUUUAUUUUAUUUAUUUUUUUGAGAUGGAGUCUUGCUGUGUUCCCCAGGAUGGAGUGCAGUGGCACAAUCUGGGCUCACUGUAACCUCUGCCUCCUGGGUACAAGAGAUUCUCCUGCCUCAGCCUCCCGAGUAGCUGGGACUAGAGGUGUGUGCCACCACGCCUGGCUAAUUUUUUGUAUUUUUAGUAGAGACAGUGUUUCACAGUGUUAGCCAGGCUUGUCUCUAUCUCCUGACCUCUUGAUCUGCCCGCCUCGGCCUCCCAAAGUGCUGGGAUUACAGGCAUGAGCCACCACACCUGGCCCCACCUUGCUUUUUUAUUAAGACUGCUAAUAAUAAGUUACUGUGCUUUCUUAUUAUAUCCCCUUUUGGUCUCUGUUAACAAAAAAUACAGUUGUAUGUAAAUUUUAGUAUAUGACAAUGUUCAUCUCACAAUACGUACAGUGAUAAUAGUGGAAGAGGAAGGAAGGUAAAACUUUUGCUGUGAUUCCAUAAAUGAGCAACGUGGGACACCCUUGUAUGAGUCCAGUGCUUACACAAGCGCCUGAACACAGAGCUGCCAGGCUGGGUGCAUGUGUCAAACUCUGCCAAAGCCCUGAAAGCACCAGUUGUGAAAAGCUGGAAAAAGGUCUUGGCAACCAAAAUUCAUGUUGAUUUUUGUCACCUUUUUGAGCAAAUAUUCUUUGCAGAUCAAUAGUCCAUUGGUUUAAUUUUACAAAUGUUUUCUUUUGAAUUUUCUUUCCUCCCAAUGUAGUUUCAAAAAACUAGUCCAUUUAAAAAAUGAUCCUUUUUAUGGAGUGAAAGAAUACAAUACUCAGAGUGGUUCCAUGCUCAAGUUCCAAGAUGCAAAUUUUUUUAUGCAAGUCUCAUAUUCAAUUAAUAGCCCCGAGAUUAUGAAAGAUCCAUUACCUUCUCAAUUGCAGAUUCAGGUAUUGCCAACACAACACAAAGCAGCAUUAAAAUUCAUGUCAUUCUAUAAUGGUAUUUUCCAAAAUGUACUUUUUCCAAACACUUUCCAAAAUGUACUUUUUCAGGUUGCUUUAAAAAUUUUAAUAUAAAAUUUAACAAUUAAAAAUGUAUUUUAUAGUCAGAAUAGCAGGAACUCUUUGUAAGUACUGAGGGAUUAUCACUAAAUAAAAUGUAUAGCAAGUGUGCUAUAGCAGUAUUCUUCUGUAAGAGAUAUCCAGAGUUAUUGACCUGAGAGAAGGAGGAGAAAUGCAUGUAUGAAUGCAAAGAAUCCUGUUUUUCUUCAGCAGGGUACUGAAAACUAAUUCUUCUUCAUGAGGGAAGGCAAACAACCCUCUCUCUGGUCUCUUUUCUACUAUGAUUCAUUUUUUGGUCUAAGUUUUUUCCCAAACCAAGAGUAGACUCCCUCCUGAGUCUCUAUUGACUUACCUGGCUGCCAACAAAGGAAGGCUACUAGUUUCUUGGAAUUCAUAUAAUUAUAUUUCUGUGGGCACUCAUAAAGAGCCAUCAGCUCUGUCCUUGCACACCCCACUUCUAGACUUGCCUCCAGCCGGGGGUGGUAAUAACUGAAAAGAAAACAUUUCUUGACCUACUCCAGUACCUCAUAAAUCGAAAUGUAUCCCUUCAACUAACACUCAAAUUCCAUCUUAUUAAUAUAACUGCCAAACUAAAUUAAGUCCAAUUUUACUUUUUUGUUUACCUCCUAUACAAUGGAAUCAUAUUUUUUCAUAUUAAAAUUUUAGCAAAUAAUAUGUCACCUACCAUUUGCACCUCCACACGAUGCUAGAGAAUUAAGUUGGGAAAGUCAGACCUCCAAUGCUCUUGAUACAAAUAAGUCCUGACCAAAGAUUUAACCAGAAUGUUCCCUCAGUGCUGCUAAAUAAAUAUUUAUUUAUGUAUGUAUUUAUGUAAUACUUCUCCUUUGAAAAGAGAACUUGAGGUAGUCUCCAGAAAUAUACACAUACCAGUGGAAGAAAAACAGACCAAUCUGUGGAAAUUAAAGCAAGAAGAAAGAUAAGCUGGAAGAAAAUAUAUAUUGAAGCAGUAAUGUUGGUGCCUGCCAUACUGGUCUUAGCGUUCUGAUAGGUUCCUGCAUGUUGGUGGUAAUUUUGAAACAGACUAUCCUAAUAAUCCAGGCAAAUAUAGUUUGAAAGCACAAUUAGUCAUGAGACUACCCAUGUUGCUGGCCAAAAUCACACUGCUGUGAGAGACAGCACAGUUGUUCCUGUUCCUGAGAUGCAUGAGGAAUUUUUCUCAUGGUUCCUUAUGAAGUAGACACUGAGUGAUUGGUAGCUAUUAGUGGGAAGCAGGAUAUCUGGGAAGAAGAGGGAAAAAUGACAGCAUUGCACAAAUUUGAGGGAAUGGAUUCUUUGCCUUUAUCAUAUUUAAUGUAAGCUCCUAGUGAUUAAUGAGUUUGAAAUGCCUGGUCAUCUACAUAUGUGUGCCUGAUUCCAGGAGAGAUGGAGUCUGACAGUUUGUAUAGCAGCUAAGUUCAUGGGAAUGGAGUCUGCUGCCUAAGGCCCUGAGCAGCCUUUAUUGCAAAUUCUGUAGAGUAACCCGCUGUGUAGCAAACAGUCAGGAUCACUUAUUAUUAUUUACAGACUUUCCAAAGCUCUCAUCAAAUAGGAGCCCCACACUGUCAAUUUCUGGAAAUAUCAAUGCUUAAUGCUUCCCCAUUCACAAAGUAUGGGGAAGGUGUUGUCAAUCUGGGGAUAGAGGGGAGACUUGUGCCACGUUUUAGAGGAUGGCACUUUGGAACUUAGGGAUACAGAAGUCUAAUGUGAGGACAGCCAUUUGGCGGUCACCUGUCUUAUUCACAAGAGAGGAAUUAACUUCAUAGCAUCCCUAUUGUUUGAAAAGGGGACUUACUGAGUGCCAUCUAUGUGCAAGCUAAUAGGUAAACAGUAAUAUGUUUUCCAAAAGCAGAUGGAAAUUUUGAGAGUCCCAAAGCUUAUAUAAUUAAGGGCAAAGAGAAGGUUUAAGAAAUUUAUAAAUAUAAAACUAUGUAUAAGACUGCGCAUGUAGGCCAUGCAGAGGAGGUAAAGUGCAAGCUUUGGUAACUUCACAGAAAAUCUAUCUAUGAUGGUGUUCUCCUAUAAUCCUCAGAGUAACCAAUGAUCUGAGUGAAACUCUCUCCAUGUGACACAGGACAAAACUGAGAUCCAAUUUUUGUAGUUGCCAAAUUUUGCAAAUAAAAACAAUGGACUUUAAGUUAAAUUUGAAUUUCUAAUAUACAACAAAAAAAUUUUAAUAUAAAUAUGUUCUCAAUUUUUUUAUAUUAAAAAAUCAUCUAUUGGGAUCUGGAAUUCAAAUUUAAUCUGGUGUCCUGUAUUUUAUCUGGUAGUCUUACCAAUAUUAUAUAGCCUAGUUUUUAACCCAGAUUUGUUGUAUAAAAAUACAAAGUUCAAAUAUAUUUUAUUCCUUCCCUAUUAUAAGUACCACAUGUUUAAUAAUUACUAAGCACAGUCAUUUUCCCCUUAAAUAAAAGUAAUCUUUGCAUUAAAUUGUUUAUUAUUUAAAUAAUGGAAAUUAUAUAUACUCUAGUUCUUAAAAACUUAACUUUAAAUUAUCCAGGUAAUAAUAGUUAUUGCAGAAAAAAUUUAAAUGCAAACAGAAAAGGCAAGCAACCUUUAUAAUCCUCUCUUUCACAGAUGACUUCUUUUGUCAUUUAGUUUUUUAUAUCUUCUGACUUUCUUAUGCAAAUAGCUAUAUAUUGCUUUAAAAAAGAAUCAGUGUUAUACAUUCUUUUAAAUACAAAGUGACUUAAAAAAACACAACUUUAUUUUCUUUGUGCUGGGCCUUGUAUGUGAUGAUAGAGAUUUGGCAAUCAAUUAUCAGGAUUUGGAUGAAAAAAAUCAGCAAGUAGAAUACCAGAUGUGAAAACUUCCCACAGAAAUUCUUCUUCCUUUGAAGUGUGAGAUUAAUGAUCUAUAUCAGACGGUCGGUUGACCGUAUUGCAGUUAGACCUAAUGUGAAACAUUUCAGAUGGCUACCGGAUGAUACAGGUAUGGCUGAUAAAAAGCCCCUCAGAAUUGAGAUAAAUCGGCUUGGUCUCAUCAUUAUCUCAUAGAGCAAUGCAGGCAAAGGAAAAAAAAAUAUGUCUCUUGACUGAUUAUUUGAGUUCUUAUUGCAGAUUUAAAAUAAAAUAAAUCAGUGGGAUUACAUGUCAAAUUUAUCUACCAGAAUUGUCACCUAAUAUAUAUAGAUAUUGGUUUUCUUUCAGAGGAGAGGGAAAAUAGAGAAAAAUGGAUAACUUGUCAUAAAUGUAAAACUUCAGAGAGAACUAACAGAAGCGUGCAAGCUAUGUUUUUACAGGCAAAACUUUUUUCUUCUAUAGAACAAGCCUAUAUUAAGCAACAUCGGCGACUCAACUGUUUGUCCCAGUGCAGAAUUUAGGGCUGCCUUCACAUGAAGCAAAAGGAAGUGUCAAAUAAAUUAUUGGAAAACUGCGUUUCAAUACCUGCAUUACCUUGUCUGGCUAUACAGAGUUAACUUGGGUUUCCUAAGAAUUUUCUGGGAAUUUUUACUGAGUAUGCCUGGUCAAAGUAGAAUAAUCUACAUAAUCACCUGUGAUUGUCCCUAAGGAUAACCUGCCCUUGACUCUAUGUCUGACUUCCAUCUUUGAAACCAACACCUAUUGUUACAAGGAGGAGGGACCAUAUGGUAAUAUCUACAAUUAACAGAUAUUCCACAGUCAAUUCCUUAGUAGAAUAGAGAAAAGAAAAAGUGCUGGUCUGGGACCCUGGAGACUUGAAAUCCGGUCAUGAAUCUAACAAUGUCAACACACAAGUUGGCAAGUUGACGCAACGCCAACUUACACAACUUGUACAAUUUACCCAUUCUUGUCUGGGUGCAGUGGCUCACGCCUGUAAUCCCAGCAUUUUGGGAGGCUAAGGAGGGCAAAUCAUCUGAGGUCAGGAGUUCAAGACCAGUCUGGCCAACAUGGGAAAACCCUGUCUCUACUAAAAAAUGCAAAAAUUAGCUGGGCAUGGUGGUGCACGCUUGUAAUCCUAGCUCCUAGGGAGGCUAAGGCACGAGAAUCCCUUGAACCUGGGAGGUGGAGGUUGCAGCAAGCCAAGAUAGAACCACUGCACUCCAGCCUGGGAAACAGAGGGAGGCUCUGUCUCAAAAACAAAACAAAACAAAACAAAUAACCAAAACUUACCCAUUCUUUAUCUUAGUAUCCUCAACUACAAGAUAAGAUUUUAUUGACUCUUUGAGCCCACUCUUAGGAUUCUCAGCUCUAAAAUUAUUUCAAAGGUUUUUUUUUGUCUUCUUGUAAGUUCUGAAUGCAUAUUUCAGUUUGAAAGUUUACCAGUGCUUCUCUCCUCUGCUGAAAAUGUGCUACUAAGUUUAUAAACACACACCUGUUUGAGAAAUAGAUAAACAUUAUAACAAACUUCUACAGCUAUUUUGAAGAUUGAAAACUAUUUGCCCCAUAAGUAUAAAAAUCAAUAAAUAUAUUUGUAUAUAUUUGUAUAUAUUUUAAUUAAACAUACCUUGUCAAUUAAUAUAUGUAUCUGUGUAUAUAGAUAGAUGUGUGUGUAUAUUUAUAUACAUGAUAUAGAUAGAUAAAUAUAUAGCUAUAGAUAAAGAUAUAGCUAUAGUAACACAUGGAUUGAAAAUGAUCUGAACUAAUAUAAAUAAAAUUCUCACUAGUCCAGUGCUUCUCCAUCUAUCUGAAGUGAAGAGCCACAUUUUUUUAAAGUUAUUAUUAUUAUUUCUAAUUCCCUGGUGACAAAAAUACAAUUAAAACAGCAAGUUGCUAUUAAAGUUUCUAACUUUAUUGACUCACUUUGUAUGUGAAUUCUCUCUUUACUUAUCUCCUAGUAAGCCAGUAAUGGAAACAUAUCAUCAUAGGUCUAUGCACCAAAUUUUAUGUAGAAUGUCACUAGGGCAUAAGAUUACAUGAAAUUUUCAUUUUCUUAAUGUUUUAUAUAGUUUGAUUUCAAUGUAGAUAUUAUACCUAGAAUAGAAGAUUUAAAAAAUUAACAUGAAUUUUGGUAUAAUUCGCUUACUAAAAAUACAUAUAUGAGUAGGAUGAUAUAAUUUCAAUUAUUAAUCUAAGUUAUCUCAGGGUAAAAUUAAACAAGAUAUUUCUUUCCUUUUUGGAAGGGGAAUAUUUGUAUUUGUUGAUAUUUCAUAAUCAUUGGAUAUGUAUUACACAUAUAAUGAGAAAAAAACAAUUUCCAUUACUACAUGAACAAAGGGCAAUGUAAGGCUAUUACUAAGUUGGGUUAACACAACUGGUUCACUUUCAUUUACAUGAACCAUUCUUUUGAUGGAAUAUCUGAAGAGAGAAAUGUGUGUGUUUGUAGUCCAUUCCAGUUCUGGUUCUGUGCAAAUUCUAAUAAAAAUGAAAUGUAAUUGAUCCUCAAAAAUAUGAUUCAUCUAUUUUAAGUCAUCAGUCAACACACAUUUAAAUAGCAAAUUGCUAUUAAAAUUCCUAACUUUAAUGACUCACUUUUUAUGCUUGUUCUCUCUUAUCUCCUGGUAGACCAGUAAACAUUCCACUAAGGUUCACAAAUAAAUUCUUCAGGGAGUAAUGCUUGCGUGGUUCUUUAGCCAAUAGUUGGCCCACUACUUCCAAGUCAACUGAUGUUGGCAUCCAACAUGUUUUAUUUUUCCAGCUAACAGUUGGAUAUUCAUUUAUUCAUUUACUGAAUGUUUAAUGAGUAUAGUGCUAUGAAUCAGGCACCACACUGUUUCCUGAGGAUAAAGUGUGGAAGAAAAAGACAUAGUCCCUGUCCUCCUGGAGCUUUUAUGCUGAUACAAAAGGCUGAUACUGAACAAGUGACUACAUGUUCUGUCAGCAAUGUGGAGACUAGAUGGGGAAAAGAACAAGAAGGGUGUGGAAGACUAUUUGAAAGGGUAUUUUUAUUGUAUUUUCGCUAGCAUGAGCCAGCUAACCAGAUAAUAGCAUGAUUCAUUUCCCCAGAGGGUCUAUUUUAUAAUACACAAAGGAGUCACAAGGACAUUCCUAACUGACCUCGGAUGUUUUUUAAUUAAAAAGAAGUUGCACUAGUUUACAUGGAAAGCAACAGAGAGAGAAAAGUUAGGAGAAAAUAAAACAGCCCCCUAAAAGAUACACUAGGCGAUGUAAUAUCACACAGGAGAUUCUACUGUAGUUGCAUCUUUAAAGAGCUGAAGUGGGGAUGCAGGCAUCUCAGCAAAUUCUAUUGUCAUUUCAAGGUAGAAACUUACGAACCAACCUACCAGUUCAAAAUUUAAUUAUAUGUGUUUGUUGAUUUUUGUUUUGGGAGGAACCAGAGGAGUGUUAGGUCAGCUGAUUGAUAGAUGAAGUAUGUAGUCCAAUUUGUUUGUGAAGGGCUUUCUCUCCAUAAAAAUAAGCACCAAUUUAUUCUUCUCUUAUUUCUGUAGUUUUACAAAUUCUAUGUGCUGAACAUAAAGUCUUCAUAAUAAUAGCUAACAUGUUCUAUGUGCUCGCUACAUGACAGUAAAGUACUGUACUAAAUAUGCCAUAAUCAGAUCUCUUAAUCUGCUCUGAGAUAUGAAAGAGGUGCUAUUUUUAAUCCCAUUUUUCAGAUGAGGAAAUUGAGAUAUUAAAAAAGUAACUUGCCCAAGGUGACAGAGCUACUCAGUGAUGCAGCCAACCUCACAGCCAAGCAGUUUGAGGGUAGAACUUUCCACUACAAUACUACAUCCAUGACAUCAUCAGAGGCAUCACCAAUGGCCCCAUGACCAUGACUGUAAUCUAUUUUAAGAUUUUCUUUGUAAAUUAGAUCCACUCUUCAGAACAAAUUUUGUGGCUUUUUAUAUUGGGAAUUGAACCUAUCAGUUUGAAGGUGUUAAAUAAAUAUUAAAUAAUGGUCAUAAUAAAAAAAAAUAAGGAAGCCCCAGAUGCUCUGUGAGCAAAAGGAGUUUGAGUUAUUAUGCGCUGAGAUACUUUAGCACAGUCUUCACAAAACAGCAACAUAUGAGCUCCAGUGCAGCCACAUCAGCCACGGACUGGCUGUGAUUAGGGUUUUUCCCUUUAUAAGAGAAAUACUUUACCUCCACAUAGCACCAGCUAUGGCUGCCUUAGUUAACUAUUGUUCUUCUCUUUUACCCAGAGGCAACCUAUGCCUAUGUAUGAAGUAGCUACUUGCACUGUGUGCCCCCCGCCACACAUGUGUCCACUACAUAAGAAAUCACCUACUUUUACUAUGUGAGGCUUUUAUUGUUCGGCUCGAACCAAUAAUUGUACCACUUCUGAGAUGACAUGAGAGCAUGCCAACUCCAGCCCAAUAUUGAUCAAACUGACUCUGAAAAUAGUUUAUUGUUCUAGCAGCAUGUUUCCUCUGGAUUUGUAUACAGAUACCAAAUCAUUCUUAUGAAAAAAUUAACAGAAAUAAAAAAAAAACGAGGGCCAUGGACAUCUGCAGGAUCAUCCAGAGCUCACUAUUCCUGUGCUUUUGGAGACAUCCACCUGCUGUUCCAUGGAGAAUUCCCCAGGAAACAUCUUUGGAACUAUAAAAUUGAAUAUAUUAAAAGGUAGUCAGUAGCCACGUGGGAGUUAUGGAGCUCAAAAAAUAUGGCUCAUCUGUCUGCAGCUGGACAGUGCCAUGUAACACAGUCAAGAAGCCUGGCUAUGCUUUCAGUCCCGGCACUUCACAUACUUCAUUAUUUGGGGGCUAUGCCAGGUCAAUCAAGAGCCCAGUUGGGAGCCCAUAGAUGGAUCAUACAGAUCUGUUUCAUCAUUUCUACACAUAAACACAGCGGGGUGCAACUGUAGUGACACUGUACCCAGAUCACUGUUGGCAGACGGAGUUUCACUUUAAUUG
rnacentral:lncRNA from 10 species